rnacentral:tRNA from 1 species
GCCCGGAUGGUGAAAUUGGUAUACACGCUAGCUUCAGGAGCUAGUCCACGCAAGUGGGUGGGGGUUCAAGUCCCCCUUCGGGCACAA